AUACGGAGGGUGCAAGCGUUACUCGGAAUCACUGGGCGUAAAGCGCGCGCAGGCGGCUUGAUAAGUUGGAUGUGAAAGCCUACGGCUCAACCGUAGAACUGCAUCCAAAACUGUCAAGCUAGAGUCUGGGAGGGGAAGAUGGAAUUAGUUGUGUAGGGGUAAAAUCCGUAGAGAUAACUAGGAAUACCAAAAGCGAAGGCGAUCUUCUGGAACAGUACUGACGCUCAGGCGCGAAAGCGUGGGGAGCAAACAGGAUUAGAAACCCUAGUAGUCC
rnacentral:rRNA from 1 species